AGGGAAGAGAGAAGCCCCUCCCAUUCGCUUCUACUGGGGCUUGUUAGGCCAUCGCCUUGGGGGCCGGCUGAUCAGCGGCAGCCAGCAGCCGGCGGCUUCGGCAGGCAGGAACAAGGACAGCCUGUGGCUACUGCAGCCCCACUGCCCGGCCAUGCUUCAUGAUGGGGGAGAGUGCCUUGGGAGGAAUAUACAGGCAAAUCAUGUUAGCAUCACAGAGCCCACUUAAUUCCGUAUGGGUUGGUAUUUGGGGAAGAAAUCGAGGACGAAUUGGUGUUGGACCCAAAGCUGGGCAGGGACCAGUGUGCAUGGCAAGGUUUUAAUGCCAGUAAGUUUUUCAGGGUGAUUUUUUUUCUGUCCCUGAGUCAGUGGAAUAGAAUGGAAAUGCCAUGUCUAGCUACUUUAGGGAGCACAGUGUGAAGAAGACAGCCUCCUCUAAGCUAGCACUGUUUGUGUAAUAUGUGGUCCUUAGACAUUAAAAUGAAGCCCUUUGUCACCAACUGUAGAGCCCCCCAAAACACCCUCAUUUGGUGUUUUUGUUCCAUUUUAAACCAUGAAUGGCAUCCGCUCCCUCCAGUACUGAUGUGAGGUUUUUCUGUGUUGGAUCAAAACCAAAUGCUGUUUUAUGUCAACGUAAGGAAGGAAACUAGCAAAUGCAUGAGGUCAAUCUCCAUGGCACACUUCCACCCCAGGGGCUGUACGAGAGGAAAAAAAUGUGCUUCAUGUCCCAACCAAAAGCAUUCUCUGUCUGAGGACUGUUGCCCAAGUGUGAAGUAGGAGACUCGUGCAAUUCAAAGGCACCUAUGUGAUGCCCAUGUGGAGCCCUUUUCUUAGCCAGGCACGACAGGUAUGGAGCCGGCUCUGGGAAGUGGGAUCUAGAAUGACAACCCUUGGCACAGGGCUAAGGAGCUUUAGGAGUGAUGAAAUCUCAUUGUACCACUGCAAACAGAAGCUGCAUCCCUGCCUGGGAAGGAUUAGGUCGCCUCCUAGGCAGGAGCAAACAUUUGGUGGAAAGGACUAGGAGGUUGGCUGCUUGCUCUUCUCUUUCAGCAGUGACAUCUCCACCCUGCCUGUCCCACCUCUCCAGAAAGGUAGGUCUGGGUACUAAAGCUCAAGUGGACUAGAGGCUCCCAAAGCUUCUCCCCAUGCCAUCUCCCCAUUGGCUGCUGGGUUCAGUGGUGGCCGCCCCUUGGGUACCAGGGGCUCCUGGUUCUACAAUGAGAAGCUGCAGGUUACAGCUGUAAGUUUUGUCCUCAUGUUAACCCCCUUAUGCUGUCUCCUCCAAUAAUGCAUGUGGUUUGGUCUCUACAGGACUCCCAGAGGCCUAUGGACUGGAGCUAUUAACAUCCUGCAGAUGGGAGCCACUCUCUCACUGUGAUCACCAAGUAAUUUUCAUCGACUGUGGAGCAGCCUGCUGGGACCCUGCCAGCUGAUCUUAACAAGCCCACUUACUGCAGGAUUCCCACUGCUUUCCUGGGCUAGGAAUUCCUUAACCAAAGGUGGGGAGUGGUGUGAGGCCUUGGUCCAUUUCAUUGCUGACAUUAGCCCUGCACCAGCGGGAGAACGUUUCUUCCUUUAAUCACCCCAAGAUUAGCCUGCAGUUGCCUCUUUCUGUUGGAUAUUUGAAUAACAAGCUUGAUGAGGCCACUUAACUCCCUCCAAUUACAGCUAAAGAUUUCCUAGAUGAAAGACCUUGAUCCACUGCCUUUCAUGAUUCAGCACUGGAUUUUCUGUUCCAUGCAGCCUUCUAUUGGAAUAAUUUUGUGAAAUGAAGGCAACAAAGUAUUGUUUUCUUAAUCAAAGAGAACUUCAUAAAAAUUGUGCUCCUUGACUGCUAAUUUGUCCUGCAUUGUUACCGAUGCUUUUCUUAUGAUUUUUGUUUUGCACUGAACAGCCCCCUGGCUGAGAGAAAACCCCGAAGCAGUUAAGAUACCAGGAAAGGAAGACUUGAAAAUUGGGAAAGCAUGAUGCAAAGCUUUUGGAGGGGCCACCGGGUAACAACAGGAGAGCACCAGAACUCACGGAGAGAGCAGAGGUUGAGGAAGCCUGGCGCCCCAGCGACAAAGCAGUGUCCCCGACAAAAGAAAGAUUCAAUCUUGGAAACAGAAACAUGAAGUGAAUGUUUAAUACCAUGGUCCAAGAAGAUGGCAUUUUCUGUGACUGGAACAAUGCAGAAUUAAUGUGUAUCUGCAAGAAAUAUCAUUAAGAUUAAGUAUUCUUCAGAGAGAUUGGAGAAUCGGGGAAUUCAAGUGCGUUUGUUGGCUUGAGCCAGCCCUCCGCUACCUGACCCAUCUGCAGGCAGAAAGGGCAUCCACCAAGUGAGUCUUUCUCAGUAGAGGAGGCAGUGUGCUGUUAUAUGCUGAUGCAGCUCCUUGUCUUGGACUCAUAACUGACAGAACAGCAUGUGGACCUCACCGCUCCUUGGACUUCGAGUGGCGCUACUCUAACGCUGAGUCCUGACCUGGAUCCCUGUUUGCUUGCCUAGACCUAAGGCGGUGGUGCAGACCUUCCCCCACCCCACAUACCAUCGCCUUCUGGAAUGUGGCUUUGUGGAACUGAGGCUGAGACAAUCACAGUGCCCCAUUCUUCUGGUCAUGUGACAGGUCUGGACCUGGUCAUGUGGCAAAGUCGAAUCUAAGUCACAUCAAAGCAGGGAGAGUUAAAGCAAAUCUUUUCUCUCUUGUUGUGGAGCUGGAAUAUGAGCCCAGAAGCUUCCAGAACACAUGGUCCUGCCCUCAUAAAGAAGCUCAAGUGAGGGAACAAAAUCGACUUAGGUAGCAGCGAGCAUGGAUGGGGCCUGGCUACAUCAAGUUCUCAGAUCCUGUUGUCCCCACCCACCCCCUGUAACUUGCCAAUUUUAUCCAUCAAGCAUCCUCUCCUCUCUCCCAACUUGUCUGAGUUCUGUUUCUGUCAUUGUCACCAAGAGAGCUUUGAUGAGUAAGAAAUCCCAACAUUCCACGGGAGUCUUGGUGGUUUAAAUUUUUAAGUGAGUCCUCACUUGUUAAAGUCUUAUUCCUGUUAGAGGGCACUUCCAUAGUCCAGAAGGUGGGGAAUUCCUAUAGGUGACCUGUGGUCUCUCUAAGCAAUUUGACCAGGACUAUUUAAUAAAAUAUUUUAAAAAUGGUUCCUUUUAAUUAUUCAUUUUCAAAUGUAUAUUUGUUCUUGGCAAACAAGAGAUGAUUUGCGUUAAUCAGUGAUCUUUAAGCAAAUUCCUUGCAAUACUUUAUCUCCAUAUAAACUCGAAGCUUCUUAAAUGAAAUAGUACCUGUGUAUUUCAUAUGGCUUCCUCUUUUAUAAAUAAAAUGAAUGGACUUGGGACCAAAACAGAAUUUUUUUUUUCGGGAACUAUAGGACUGGAAUCUUUUUAUCCAAGGCAGUUGGAUCCCACAGUACAUUUUCACUGUAACAGACAAUGAGGUUGAGUCAAUAAAUAAAUAAAUAAAGUCACCAACAUGUCCAAAAGCCUCCAUUUAAAACUCAAAGCCAGUGGUUUUGGGUUUCACCUUUUCCUUUAAAAUUAAAUUCCCUGAAACCAUAUUUUAAAAAUGCUAUCUGAAUGGGAACCGCCAAACUGGGAAACUUUAAGUUUAAAAAUAGAACUGCAUCUGAAUUAUCUUAUAGAAAUUUGUCUUCUAACCAGCCAUCAGUAACUGUAAGCAUGCUUCAUAGAUCUACAUAUUUCAGCACUUUUUACAUUCUGAAAGAAUCUUGCUUAGAUACGAAGGUUAACUGGACACCUUUUUCUGCAUUCACCUUUAAUACUGGAUGCCCCCUUUAUCUGCACUCCCAAGCUGGGAAGCCCCAGAGUGGGCUCUUGGCCCCUUGCGGCCAACUGAAGUUCUCCAUCUCUGCAGCCUCCGUGAUCACCUUAAGAAUAGGCUCGCGACCUCCUUUGGGCCACACAGAGUCCUUCUCAGGGCUUGCGCUGGAGCUCUCAGGAGGGAUGCUCGCUUUCUCACUGAUCAGGAACUCUAAGGACCAAAGCCUGGAGUGAGGAUGUGAUCUGCUUGCAAGCGAAGGAGGCAGGAGGCAGCCGGACUCGAGGGCACACAUGACCUGGCAGGGCUGAACCUCAGGCUCCGGUGAGGCUGGCUCCUGACUGCCCCUCUGGACUUUCUCAGUUAUUUCAGGCCAUGGAUUAUCUUUAGUGCUUAAGCUAGUUUGAGUUGUGUUUCUGCCACUCAUAAUUCAGAGAAUCCUGGUGGCUUCAGUGUGAUCAGGAAGACAUUGGGAGCCAUUUUAGUUUUUACUUAACUUUUCCAAACUUGCUAGACAGGCUGAUUAUGGGUCUGUGCUAGUCUGGGAACCUGUGUUUGCUCUCUUAAGCCAUGGGUCUUAGACUCAUUUCCUGUUGCAAACAGGAUGCACUGCACAUUUUUACUGUGUUUUUGCUGCCCAUAAGUGGGAGGCAGAUUCGAAUGAUAGAAUUGGAAAGGUUCCAAAAGCACCAGCCAUGGUAGGGACCCUGAAGAUUGCAAGAUAAACAAAAGCAUUCAGAACUUGUGAUGGGAGUGUGAGAGGAUUGAGCGUUGAAGUCAGCCUAACAGAGGCUGUCGUUUACCCGGUGAAAUCCUCAAGUUACAAACAGCUGCUGUGCAAUUGGAAGUCACAGUCUUCAGUUAGGCUUGAUUUGUCAUUUGGUUUAUAAAUAAGCUUUCAUUUUGUCUUUUUUUUUUUUUUUUUUUGGUCUGGCAAUGUGGUAUCUCUUCCUUGCAGGAUUUGGGAAGCUGGGAAUAUGUGUGACCCACACUACCUGAGGGUGAUAGACUUUGACAGUGUCUCCAGCAUUUUCAUGUUGAAAUCUGCUUUAUCCUAAUUUCCAGUCUUGGUCUUGUCUGUCACAGGCUGGGGAGAAGAGCACCGUCCAGAGAAGGACCCAAUAAGGGACAUUUCCACCUUGCUUAGUGGGUUGAGGGCUGGGCUUUGGGUUUGAGAUGUGAAGAGAAAGAAGCUACGUGGAAGAGAAAGGAUGGAGGUACAAGGACGCCCUCCAGCCGGCUACACUUCUGAAACUAAAACAUACAAAACUCAGUGGCUUUUCCUCAACUCCUAUGAUGGAUGUGCAAGGACGCCCUCCAGCUGGCUGCAUUUCUGAUGCUAAAAAUACAAAACUCAGCAGCUUUGCCCAUACUCCUAUGAUGCCUG
rnacentral:lncRNA from 1 species